rnacentral:misc_RNA from 1 species
GUCCGUGCCCGUCCACCCAACGGCCGGCAGGCGAUCCGCGUCGGUCGCGCGAGGCGGCUUAUGUAUGGUUUCCCAGAGGCUGGUUCUUGUGCUGCCUACCCCUUCAGGGGAAGCGCAGGCCACUCGAUGUAAGCCUCCAUCCGGCGCCUUCGAAAGGGCGCCGGAGGACAGCGGAGCACCCCCCGCGUUCCACCGAGCCCCCGUCGGUCGCGUGGCACGCGGGGACGUGCGAUGCUCUCGGACCCAGCGCACGCCGUGGGCGAGGACUCACGUCCCAGUCCCAAGAGAAGCUCCGAUGGAAUGCAUGACGGCCGCCCCCGCCCCCGACCGUCCCGGCGGUUCGUUGGCGUGGCGCGGCGUCGCGGAGGAAUGC